ACCCGCUGAACUUAAGCAUAUCAAUAAGCGGAGGAAAAGAAACCAACAGGGAUUGCCCUAGUAACGGCGAGUGAAGCGGCAACAGCUCAAAUUUGAAAUCUGGCUCUCGGGCCCGAGUUGUAAUUUGUAGAGGAUGUUUCUGGCAAGGUGCCUUCCGAGUUCCCUGGAACGGGACGCCAUAGAGGGUGAGAGCCCCGUACGGUUGGUUGCCGCGCCUCUGUGAAACUCCUUCGACGAGUCGAGUAGUUUGGGAAUGCUGCUCUAAAUGGGAGGUAUACGUCUUCUAAAGCUAAAUACCGGCCAGAGACCGAUAGCGCACAAGUAGAGUGAUCGAAAGAUGAAAAGCACUUUGAAAAGAGGGUUAAAUAGUACGUGAAAUUGUUGAAAGGGAAGCACUUAUGACCAGACUUGGGCCGGUUGAUCAUCCGUCGUUCUCGGCGGUGCACUCUGCCGGCUCAGGCCAGCAUCAGUUUGGUCUGGGGGAUAAAGGUUUCGGGAAUGUGGCUCCUCCGGGAGUGUUAUAGCCCGUUGCGUAAUACCCUGGAUCAGACUGAGGUUCGCGCUCUGCAAGGAUGCUGGCGUAAUGGUCAUCAGUGACCCGUCUUGAAACACGG
rnacentral:rRNA from 1 species